rnacentral:rRNA from 1 species
AUGGCAGCUGCAGCCAUGGAAGAGGCGGCAAGGGCAUUCAUAGUGGUCAUGAUAGCACAUUGUGAAACUGGUGUGGCUGCCUUCGUCUUCCCUUCGAGCACCAGACAAUGGCAAGCUGCUGCAUCCAAGGGUUGGAGUGAUUUGUUCCCCUGCCAGGGAGAGUCAGCCAUGAUGUCAUCUAUGCACCCUAAGUUUGUCGGGCGCCAUUACGCAUAUGGCUGCUUUUACUUGGAGUCCACCAUGAAUAAGAAGUUGCUCGCGUUUGACACCCGAAGGAUGGAGUUCUCCAUUGUCGACGUCCCAUGUGAAACAUCAAACAUGUUCGGUCUAGCCAUUGUGGAGGCAGGAGAAGACAUGAUUGGCAUGUUUGAUAUCCAUAGUGAUCUUCGUUAUUACAUUAGAGGAAACAAAGGUGAGAGUUCUAGCCAGUGGAAGAUCAAGAAGACAAUCUCACUACCUUCUGAUUAUCAGUACUAUAUCCAAGCUUCAACCGAGAGGUACUUGCUCCUAAGAAAGAUUGGACCCUUGCAGUCCAUAAGUUCAUCUCCGAAGAUGCUAGAGGUGGAAUAUGUCUCAAUGGACGUCAAGACGUUGCAGCUUGAGAGGGUUUGUGGUAUAUCAUUCGGGUUUAGCUUGGCCAGCGCACGCAUAUAUACAAGCUUCCCACCAUCCUUGUUGUCUGCACCGACAAUAUGA